UACGUAGGGGGCUAGCGUUGCUCGGAAUCACUGGGCGUAAAGGGUGCGUAGGCGGGUCUUUAAGUCAGGGGUGAAAUCCUGGAGCUCAACUCCAGAACUGCCUUUGAUACUGAAGAUCUUGAGUUCGGGAGAGGUGAGUGGAACUGCGAGUGUAGAGGUGAAAUUCGUAGAUAUUCGCAAGAACACCAGUGGCGAAGGCGGCUCACUGGCCCGAGACUGACGCUGAAGCACGAAAGCGUGGGGAGCAAACAGG
rnacentral:rRNA from 1 species